rnacentral:rRNA from 1 species
GUUGCUGCGUUAAAAAGCUCGUAGUCGGAUCUCGGGAUCGUGUCGGCGUUCUCGUGGCUGUCUCUCCGGUUCUGCCGUCGGGGGUGGUCGCGGGUCGUCGGCCCUGCCGGCGAGGUCCCCGCCAGUUGGCGGGGUUCCACCUUGCUCGUGCAGCCCGCCGUUGCGUUUGGGCGGGUGUCCUUAAUUGGAUGCCCGUAUCUCGAACGUGACCCAUUUACCUUGAACAAAUCGGAGUGCUCAAAGCAGGCUCUACGUCGCUCGAACGGUAGCGCAUGGAAUAAUAGAAGAGGACCGGCUUCCGCUUCUGUUGGUCUCACGGAGGCAGGUAAUGAUCAAGAGGAACAGACGGGGGCGGAGGUAUGGCACGGCGAGAGGUGAAAUUCUUGGACCCCUGCCAGACCCUCGAGAGCGAAAGCAUCCGCCAAGGAUGUUUCCAUUGAUCAAGAACGAAAGUUGCGGGAUCGAACGGGAUUAGAUACCCCGGUAGUCGCAACAGUAAACGAUGCCGAUCGGGAAUUUGACGGCGUUACUUCCAUGACCCGUCAAGCGCCCGACCCGGGAAACCGAGAGUCUUUGGGUUCCGGAUGGGAGUAUGGUUGCAAAGCUGAAACUUAAAGGAAUUGACGGAAGGGCACCACCAGGAGUGGAGCCUGCGGCUUAAUUUGACUCAACACGGGGAACCUCACCCGGCCCGGACACCGCGAGGAUUGACAGACUGAGAGCUCUUUCUCGAUUCGGUGGGUGGUGGUGCAUGGCCGUUUUUUUACCCCAUCCUACUAACUAGCCCUCGGGUCCGGCUUCUGCUGGGCCCGAUGGAACGUUUGCUUCUUAGAGGGACUCGCAGGGUUUACCUGCAUGAAAAGGGGCGAUAACAGGUCUGUGAUGCCCUUAGAUGUUCGGGGCUGC